GCGUUCCUACGGGGGGCAGCAGUGGGGGAUAUUGCACAAUGGGGGAGACCCUGAUGCAGCGACGCCGCGUGCAGGAAGAAGGUUUUCGGAUUGUAAACUGCUUUAGACAGGGAAGAAAAAAGACAGUACCUGUAGAAUAAGCUCCGGCUGACUACGUGCCAGCAGCCGCGGUAAUACGUAGGGAGCGAGCGUUAUCCGGAUUUAUUGGGUGUAAAGGGUGCGUAGACGGUGAAUUAAGUUAGUUGUGAAAUCCCAU
rnacentral:rRNA from 1 species